GCAGGGAGGGGCGGCUCAGUCAUUCCUCAAGGUUCUCACCUGGAGAUCUGGGACAGCCUGGAGCCCCGCCCUCUGCUGAUGGGGUCUGCACCCCUCAGACCCAGUUGAUUUUGGGAGUAGAGCACAGCAGCCUGGGCUUGAUUGUCACUUUGGCAGCUACAGCUAUGAACGGUAGCAAUGAAAGCAUGUAUCAGUGACUUGCCCCAGACCAGGACGGGAAUGGUUCUAACAUUUCACAUUCAAGUAUGUUUCCCGCCAAUUUUAGAAAGUUAAUGUGCCUUUGAAUCUUAGGUUUGCUAAAAGUUUUUCAUUUGAAAUCGCAUAAAAUUUAUUUCAGAGGCUUUUUCUGUAUCCAUUGACCUGACUGCUUUUUCUACUCUAUCGUGUAUGUAGAAAAUUAAAAUGGAAGUUUUCUAUU